AUGCGUAGGGGUUCUGAGAGGAAGGUCCCCCACAUUGGAACUGAGACACGGUCCAAACUCCUACGGGAGGCAGCAGUGAGGAAUAUUGGUCAAUGGCCGGAAGGCUGAACCAGCCAAGUCGCGUGAGGGAAUAAGGCCCUAUGGGUCGUAAACCUCUUUUGUCAGGGAGCAAAGGCGUCCACGUGUGGACGAGAGGAGAGUACCUGAAGAAAAAGCAUCGGCUAACUCCGUGCCAGCAGCCGCGGUAAUACGGAGGAUGCGAGCGUUAUCCGGAUUUAUUGGGUUUAAAGGGUGCGUAGGCGGAGUGUCAAGUCAGCGGUAAAAUUUCGGGGCUCAACCCCGUCGUGCCGUUGAAACUGACACCCUUGAGUGAGUGAGAAGUAAGCGGAAUGCGUGGUGUAGCGGUGAAAUGCAUAGAUAUCACGCAGAACGCCGAUUGCGAAGGCAGCUUACCGGCGCUCAACUGACGCUGAGGCACGAAAGUGCGGGUAUCGAACAGGAUUAGAUACCCUGGUAGUCCGCACAGUAAACGAUGAAUGCUAGAUGUCCGGGGCGAAUGAGCUCUGG
rnacentral:rRNA from 1 species